CUUUCAGAAAAACAAACUU
rnacentral:miRNA from 1 species